rnacentral:rRNA from 1 species
UUGGAGGGCAAGUCUGGUGCCAGCAGCCGCGGUAAUUCCAGCUCCAAUAGCGUAUAUUAAAGUUGUUGCAGUUAAAAAGCUCGUAGUUGAAUUUCGGAAUCCAUCCGUCGGUCGGGCCUCACGGUCCGCACUGGUGUGAUGGAUUCCUACCUUCUGAAUAACCAGCAUGUCAUUAAUUUGGUGCGUUGGGGAAGCAGGACUGUUACCUUGAAAAAAUUAGAGUGCUUAAAGCAGGCUAGUGCCUGAAUACAUUAGCAUGGAAUAAUGAAAUAGGACGGCAUGGUUCUAUUUUGUUGGUUUCUAGGAUCACCGUAAUGAUUAAUAGGGAUAGUUGGGGGCAUUAGUAUUCAAUUGUCAGAGGUGAAAUUCUUGGAUUUAUUGAAGACUAACUUCUGCGAAAGCAUUUGCCAAGGAUGUUUUCAUUAAUCAAGAACGAAAGUUAGGGGAUCGAAGACGAUCAGAUACCGUCGUAGUCUUAACCAUAAACUAUGCCGACUAGGGAUCGGACGAUGUUAAUUUUUUAAUGACUCGUUCGGCGCCUUACGGGAAAC